GUACUUGGUGUUACUGCGAAGGGGGGACGGAGAAGGCUAUGUUGGCCGGGCGACGGUUGUCCCGGUUUAAGCGUGUAGGUGUGUGUUCCAGGUAAAUCCGGUUCACUUUAACACUGAGGCGUGAUGACGAGGCACUACGGUGCUGAAGCAACAAAUGCCCUGCUUCCAGGAAAAGCCUCUAAGCAUCAGGUAACAUCAAAUCGUACCCCAAACCGACACAGGUGGUCAGGUAGAGAAUAC
rnacentral:rRNA from 2 species